UACGUAGGGCGCAAGCGUUGUCCGGAAUUAUUGGGCGUAAAGAGCUCGUAGGCGGCCUGUUGCGUCCGCUGUGAAAUCCCGGGGCUUAACCCCGGGCUUGCAGUGGAUACGGGCAGGCUGGAGGCAGGCAGGGGAGAACGGAAUUCCCGGUGUAGCGGUGAAAUGCGCAGAUAUGUGGAAGAACACCAGUGGCGAAGGCGGCUCACUGGUCCGGUACUGACGCUGAGGUGCGAAAGCGUGGGGAGCAAACAGG
rnacentral:rRNA from 1 species